AGAGUUUGAUCAUGGCUCAGGACGAACGCUGGCGGCGUGCUUAACACAUGCAAGUCGAGCGGUAAGGCCCAGCUUGCUGGGUACACGAGCGGCGAACGGGUGAGUAACACGUGGGUGACCUGCCCCGCACUUUGGGAUAAGCCUGGGAAACUGGGUCUAAUACCGGAUACGCACUUUGCCUUGCAUGGGGUGGGGUGGAAAGUUUUUCGGUGUGGGAUGGGCCCGCGGCCUAUCAGCUUGUUGGUGGGGUGAUGGCCUACCAAGGCGACGACGGGUAGCCGGCCUGAGAGGGUGUUCGGCCACACUGGGACUGAGAUACGGCCCAGACUCCUACGGGAGGCAGCAGUGGGGAAUAUUGCGCAAUGGGCGGAAGCCUGACGCAGCGACGCCGCGUGGGGGAUGACGGCCUUCGGGUUGUAAACCUCUUUCGGCCUUGACGAAGCUCCUUUUUUGGGGUGACGGUAGGGGUAGAAGAAGCACCGGCCAACUACGUGCCAGCAGCCGCGGUAACACGUAGGGUGCGAGCGUUGUCCGGAAUUAUUGGGCGUAAAGAGCUCGUAGGCGGUGUGUCGCGUCGAUCGUGAAAACCUGCGGCUUAACUGUGGGCGUGCGGUCGAUACGGGCAUCACUGGAGUUCGGCAGGGGAGACUGGAAUUCCUGGUGUAGCGGUGAAAUGCGCAGAUAUCAGGAGGAACACCGGUGGCGAAGGCGGGUCUCUGGGCCGAUACUGACGCUGAGGAGCGAAAGCGUGGGGAGCGAACAGGAUUAGAUACCCUAGUAGUCC
rnacentral:rRNA from 1 species